UACGGAGGGUGCAAGCGUUAUCCGGAUUUACUGGGUUUAAAGGGUGCGUAGGCGGGCCUUUAAGUCAGUGGUGAAAGCUCCGAGCUUAACUCGGAAACUGCCAUUGAUACUAUUGGUCUUGAAUUCGGUCGAGGUUGGCGGAAUGUGUCGUGUAGCGGUGAAAUGCGUAGAUAUGACACAGAACACCGAUUGCGAAGGCAGCUAGCUAGACCGACAUUGACGCUGAGGCACGAAAGCGUGGGGAUCAAACAGG
rnacentral:rRNA from 1 species